GCGCCCGUAGCUCAGCUGGAUAGAGUGUGGGUUUCCGAAACCCAAGGUCGUGCGUUCGAACCGCACCGGGCGCGCCA
rnacentral:tRNA from 1 species